CCCUGGUGGCUCAGACGGUAAAGCGUCUGCCUGCAAUGCGGGAGACCUGGGUUCGAUUCCUGGAUCAGGAA
rnacentral:tRNA from 1 species